GCGGCCGUGGUGGAAUUGGCAGACACGUACGUUUGAGGGGCGUAUGCGCGAGCAUACCGGUUCAAGUCCGGUCGGCCGCACCA
rnacentral:tRNA from 1 species